UGCAGCGACUCCUGGGGAGACGCAUGGCUCAUAACCAUGACGGUGACGGUUCGAUCCCGUCCGCUGCUAC
rnacentral:tRNA from 1 species